AUGGAGCCGGUGCAGGGGCAGGUGAGCUACACCGCCGCCGACGCUAACGAGCUCUUCGACUUUUGCGACCGGCACAAGCCCGUGUGCGGCCGCUGCAUCUUCUGUGCCAUGGAGAACUCGGUGCAGCCGUGGAUCCGCGCACUCAACAACGAGCAGCUCAAGGCCUCCGUGGUGUCCCUACGAGGUGAACAACAGGAUGCUCCAUGGCGUGGCGCCUUCUUCCGGCAGCGGCUGGGCGACACCAUCGACGAGCACUUGUUCCAGGAGACGGCAGCGCCCGCACUGUUCAUGAACGACUACAACGUGGAGCACGACAACGCCCCGAAAGCGACACAGGCGAAGUACACGGUGUUGGUCACGGGCGCGCAGAAGCGCGGCGUGGCUGUGGGCAGGACCGGGGUGCUGGGCCAUGUGACGUACCUGGUGGGUGAUGUCAUCCGCGACACGCUCGACAAGCUGGCGGCGAUGGAGCUCCAGCUCCCCGUGUGGAUCAUGGAGCUGGACGCGUCGGCGGCGGACGAGGCGGAGGGCCACAUGUGGCGCUCCCACGGGCAUCUCGUCAACGCUGACGGUGCUCUCAGCGAGGCGGCCGGGAACAGGUUCGUGGUGCGCGGGAUGGUGGACGCCAACGGGCACUUCAAGUUGAGGGGGUUGGACGGCAAGUACUUGGUGGAGCUAGCGGCCCGUGCCGGCGGGAAGGCCAGGCGCGCGUUCGGCAUGUACAAAGGGGGCGCGCCGACGAAGCUCUAG
rnacentral:rRNA from 1 species